rnacentral:rRNA from 1 species
GAUGAACGCUGGCGGCGUGCCUAAUACAUGCAAGUCGAGCGAACGGACGAGAAGCUUGCUUCUCUGAUGUUAGCGGCGGACGGGUGAGUAACACGUGGAUAACCUACCUAUAAGACUGGGAUAACUUCGGGAAACCGGAGCUAAUACCGGAUAAUAUUUUGAACCGCAUGGUUCAAAAGUGAAAGACGGUCUUGCUGUCACUUAUAGAUGGAUCCGCGCUGCAUUAGCUAGUUGGUAAGGUAACGGCUUACCAAGGCAACGAUGCAUAGCCGACCUGAGAGGGUGAUCGGCCACACUGGAACUGAGACACGGUCCAGACUCCUACGGGAGGCAGCAGUAGGGAAUCUUCCGCAAUGGGCGAAAGCCUGACGGAGCAACGCCGCGUGAGUGAUGAAGGUCUUCGGAUCGUAAAACUCUGUUAUUAGGGAAGAACAUAUGUGUAAGUAACUGUGCACAUCUUGACGGUACCUAAUCAGAAAGCCACGGCUAACUACGUGCCAGCAGCCGCGGUAAUACGUAGGUGGCAAGCGUUAUCCGGGAUUAUUGGGCGUAAAGCGCGCGUAGGCGGUUUUUUAAGUCUGAUGUGAAAGCCCACGGCUCAACCGUGGAGGGUCAUUGGAAACUGGAAAACUUGAGUGCAGAAGAGGAAAGUGGAAUUCCAUGUGUAGCGGUGAAAUGCGCAGAGAUAUGGAGGAACACCAGUGGCGAAGGCGACUUUCUGGUCUGUAACUGACGCUGAUGUGCGAAAGCGUGGGGAUCAAACAGGAUUAGAUACCCUGGUAGUCCACGCCGUAAACGAUGAGUGCUAAGUGUUAGGGGGUUUCCGCCCCUUAGUGCUGCAGCUAACGCAUUAAGCACUCCGCCUGGGGAGUACGACCGCAAGGUUGAAACUCAAAGGAAUUGACGGGGACCCGCACAAGCGGUGGAGCAUGUGGUUUAAUUCGAAGCAACGCGAAGAACCUUACCAAAUCUUGACAUCCUUUGACAACUCUAGAGAUAGAGCUUUCCCCUUCGGGGGACAAAGUGACAGGUGGUGCAUGGUUGUCGUCAGCUCGUGUCGUGAGAUGUUGGGUUAAGUCCCCGCAACGAGCGCAACCCUUAAGCUUAGUUGCCAUCAUUAAGUUGGGCACUCUAAGUUGACUGCCGGUGACAAACCGGAGGAAGGUGGGGAUGACGUCAAAUCAUCAUGCCCCUUAUGAUUUGGGCUACACACGUGCUACAAUGGACAAUACAAAGGGCAGCGAAACCGUGAGGUCAAGCAAAUCCCAUAAAGUUGUUCUCAGUUCGGAUUGUAGUCUGCAACUCGACUACAUGAAGCUGGAAUCGCUAGUAAUCGUAGAUCAGCAUGCUACGGUGAAUACGUUCCCGGGUCU